CAGUGAGCUGUGAUCGUGCCACUGCACUCCAGCCAGGGAACAGAGUGAGACCCUGUCUUAAAAAAAAGAGAGAUACAGUAGUCACCCCUUAUCCGCCCAGAACAUGUUUCAGGACCCAGUGGCUUCCUGAAACAGCAGAUAGUGUCAAAUCCUGUAUCUACGGUUUUCCCUGCACACAUACACCUGUGAUAAAGUUUGAGGUGUGACCGUAAAACUAGCACAAAUCUCUUUUUCCAUCUUCACCGUUUCACAGGAGAUUUGUUUUUACCGUAGGUCGUGCCCACUCAGCACAGGAUUUGUUUUCUGUAGUCAAGCACUGUCACCAUCACCUACAGGAAGCACUUCACAGCCUCUCUUUGGUAUAGCCAAAUUGCCGGCUCCUCUGCUCUUGCACUUGGGGCCCUUGUCACGAAAAAUUAGGGUGACUGGGAACAGCACUGCAACCCCAUGGCAGCCACUCUGGUGGCAGAGUCUCGUGUGCGCUGUCCAGCGGCUUGUGGAGACACUGGAUGUAGGACACACGUCCCAGGCAGGACAGAGCAGGAUGGUGCAAGAUUUCACACCACUCAGAGUGGUGCGUCGUUUAAAACUUAGGAAUUGUUUAUUUCUGGGGUUUUCCAUUUAAUAUUUUUGGACCAUGGUUGACUGAGGGUAAGUGAAACCAAAAAAGGUUCCACCCCCAUGGGGUGCUGUUGGGGGUGGUGUGUAUGCAUAAGCUGGGCGGGGAAAGUGCGAGUGGGCCCAGGAUGUCUUGUGCAAGAAAGUGAGGAACUGCAGGAAAAGACGACAGGGCUUGUUGAAAGAACACAGGAGCUCCCAUGGCCAAAUCCGGGACAGUUUGAGCAAGAAAGUAAAUAGUGAUUACAGUGGGUUAUAGCCCACAGAAUAAAUCAGUAUCCGUAAGUCUGUACUGACAUGAAUUAGGGGAAGGGACAGUCUCCCUUAUUCUGACUGAGGUGGAAGAAAUGAAGGGAACGGAAAAUUGCUGUUCAAGAAACCACCGUGAGGAUAGCUGCAGACUAGAACCAGCAGUGACAUGAAGCGGGACGCCUGCUGAGUAUUGGCGACCCUCGAGGUGCCCAGUGUUUACAAGGAGCAGUGGCGAUGUCCCCGUGGAGGUCACCUUGGCCAGAGGAGGGACCACGGUGAUCGAUACUCCAGGGUGAUCUCCCCUUCUCAAGACCCUUAACUUAAUCCCAUCUGCAAAGUCCCUUUGCCAUGGAAGCUGCCAUAUUCAGAGGCUACCAGGAUGAGGACGUCUCUGGGGACAGUAUUCUGCCAGCAGCACAUCGGCAGCUGUUCGUGGAGGGGCCCUGGAGCAGAGGAGGGUGCCCUGGUCUGAGGCCCAGUGGCUGCUGCAAAGCUGGGGACUUAAGCGAGUGCUUGUGUCCCCAAGGGAGCUGGGCAGCUGCAGGGGACAUGGUGCACUCCGGGCACUGCGCAGGCUUCUCUACAUCAUCUAUGGCAACCCGAGUCCUGGAUGGGAUUUUCUCAAGGUUCAAGUUUAUUAAAUAAAUCCCAUCUUUUUCUGAAA